rnacentral:miRNA from 1 species
GGCCACACGGGACAGAACAUAGUCAGUGUCAUCUGAUGGUGUUUAUGGUCCCUCUGCAG